rnacentral:rRNA from 1 species
AUUGAACGCUGGCGGCAGGCCUAACACAUGCAAGUCGAACGAGUGGCGGACGGGUGAGUAAUGUCUGGGAAACUGCCUGAUGGAGGGGGAUAACUACUGGAAACGGUAGCUAAUACCGCAUACCAUCAGAUGUGCCCAGAUGGGAUUAGCUAGUAGGUGGGGUAACGGCUCACCAGGGCGACGAUCCCUAGCUGGUCUGCAAGGAUGACCAGCCACACUGGAAGUGAGACACGGUCCUGACUCCAACGGGAGGCAACAGUGGGGAAAAUGGCACAAUGGGCGCAAGCCUGUUGCGGCCAUGCCGCGUGUAUGAAGAAGGCCUUCGGGUUGUAAAGUACUUUCAGCGGGGAGGCGUUACCCGCAGAAGAAGCACCGGCUAACUCCGUGCCAGCCGCCGCGGUAAUUC